CCGGAAGGAGCCCGGAGGGGCCCGGGCGGCCAGGGCGCCCCCGCCAGGAGGCCCGCCAGGUGUCCACCUGAGCCCCACGCCCUGCGCCGCGGGGCCCUUUUGGGGGCGGGGUGCCAGCUCCGAGGUGUCCUCCCACGGGCUGUAGACUGGGAAACUGAGGCCCGGGCCACGGUCCCAGACGCAGCCGGGACCCGAACCCACCUCACCUGAGCGAAUGAUAUCCGGGACUCAUCCUUUUUCGACACCUUUGCGGGAUCCAGCCCUCCAAGGAAAGCUUCCUGAGCAGUGCGCGCCACGUGUAUUGGGCACCUCACCGCGGCCACUUCACAUCCUAUCUCAGGUGGAGAAACUAAGCCACAGAAAGGAGCUGUCAUUUACCUAAAGCACCGUGGCAGGGGUUUGGCAGAGCCAGGAUUUGUACCCAGAUCGCCUGACUUCGGAGAGUAACAGCUCUUAACCACAGCACUUCGGUCUAUGCCUUGAUUUCACCAUAUGUAACAAGCAGCUGUGCCACUUUGCAUUCCCACCAGCAGCACGCAAGCGUUCGAAUUUCUCCGCACGCUCCCCAACAGGACAAGAGCUUGCCGUGUUGCCCCAGGCUGGUCUCAAACUCCUAGCCUCAAGCAAACUUCCUGUCUCGGCCUUUCAAAACCCUGAGAUUACAAGCAUAAGAAAAGAAAAUCUUGUAAGAUGAAAGCUGAAGGAUGAGAGCAAUUAAUUGAUGAAGUAUGAUGAUCCAGGUGUCCCUGGGUGAAGAAACAACCUCUACAAAGGCCCUGAGGUAGGAAUAUGCCAUUAUAGGACCUAGGAGCUGUUCUCAGGGAGCUGACGGUGAUUGAGGCUCAUGGAACAAGAAAAGAAAAAUCAUCAUCACCAUUGUCACUAUCACUACCAUAGUCAGAUGAAGAGAUGGGGUCUCCCUAUGCUUCCCAGGCUGGUCUCGAACUCCUGGACUCAAGCAAUCCUCCUGUCUUGACCUCCCAAAGUGCUGGGAUUACAGGCGUGAGCCGCCUCACCUGGCCUAUAGAAUUUUAUACAAAUGAAAUCAUACU
rnacentral:lncRNA from 10 species